CGGCUGCUCCGUGUGACGGCGGGCCGCGAACCAUGUCAGGCGGGGAACCGAGCAGCAUUAAACGGUUACCCCCGUGCCGCGGCGGCGGGUCGCG
rnacentral:SRP_RNA from 1 species